rnacentral:snoRNA from 1 species
AAGCUAUGACGAUUAGUCCUUACCUACUAAGACCACACCCAUGGUUCCACGUUACUCGUACUGUCUGAGCUA